AUACCGAUUGAAUGGCUUAGUUAAUCCUUCGGAUUGGCUUUCUUUUUCUGGCUUAGUGAAUCCUUUCGGAUUGGCUAUUUUUUUCUGGCAACAGAAUUAAACUGCUAAAAAGUUGGGCAAACUUGGUCAUUUAGAGGAAGUAAAAGUCGUAACAAGGUUUCCGUAGGUGAACCUGCGGAAGGAUCAUUAAAAAAUAAUCACUGUUUUGUGAUUUUAAUAAUCAUCCUACCCUUUGUGAAUUUGUUUUGUUUGAAAAUUUAUGUUGUCUAUCCCUGGUGGUUUUGGAAAAGUUGAAAAACUUUUUCGAAUCCCAGGGACUAGGCUUUCAUAGACCUUUUUUUAAAUUAAACUUUUUGUAUUCAUUUGUCUAAAAUUUAUUUUUAAUAAUUUAAAAACAACUUUUGACAAUGGAUCUCUUGGUUCUCGCAACGAUGAAAAACGCACCAAAAUGCGAUAAGUAAUGUGAAUUGCAGAAUACGUGAAUCAUCAAAUCUUCGAACGCAUAUUGCACUUUUCUAGUUUACUAGAAAAGUAUGUCUGUUUGAGUAUCAGUAAAAUAUUCUCAUAAAAACAUUGUUUUUUAUGGUUAUGAGUGUUUUACAACAAUAAACAAGUUGUUUCACUUUAAAUUGAUUUUUAAAAGCCAAUUUUGGUUUUAUCUAAUAAAAUUGGAUAAAAUUUUCCCGUAAAAAGGAAUAAACUUUUCAUUUUUAAUAGUUAAAACUUAAUUGUGCCUAAUUAAAAGGAAAUUUAACAAAAUAACUUGAUCUCAAAUCAGAUAAAAGUACCCGCUGAACUUAAGCAUAUUAUUAAGCGGAGGA
rnacentral:rRNA from 2 species